rnacentral:rRNA from 1 species
GACGAACGCUGGCGGCGUGCUUAACACAUGCAAGUCGAACGAUGAAGCAGAGAAACGCGAUCUUUGGUUUAAAUUUCACUUCGGUUUAGUGGCAGACGGGAGAGUAACGCGUGAGCAACCUACCUCUUACAAAGGGAUAGCUACGGGAAACUGAGAUUAUUACCAUCUGACAUAUUAAUAAGGCAACUUAAGAAUGUUAAGGGUACGGCGGUAAGGGAUGGAAUUGCAUCCCAUUAGCUAGUUGGUGAGGUCACGGCCCACCAAGGUGACGGUGGGUAACCGGGCAGAGAGAGAGAGCGGUGACACUUAAACUGAGACACAGUCCAGACUCCUCCGGGAGGCAGCAGUGCGGAAUAGUGCACCAUGGAGGGAACGCUGAUGCUGCUACGCCGCGAGAGCGAUGAUAGAAGUCGUGACGUAAAGCUCAGUUCUAUGUGAAGAAAAUGACGGUACCAUAGGAGAAAGCCCCGGCUAAAUACGUG